rnacentral:rRNA from 1 species
GAUGAACGCUGGCGGCGUGCCUAAUACAUGCAAGUCGAGCGAACAGAUGAGGAGCUUGCUCCUCUGACGUUAGCGGCGGACGGGUGAGUAACACGUGGAUAACCUACCUAUAAGACUGGGAUAACUUCGGGAAACCGGAGCUAAUACCGGAUAAUAUAUUGAACCGCAAGGUUCAAUAGUGAAAGACGGUUUUGCUGUCACUUAUAGAUGGAUCCGCGCCGCAUUAGCUAGUUGGUAAGGUAACGGCUUACCAAGGCGACGAUGCGUAGCCGACCUGAGAGGGUGAUCGGCCACACUGGAACUGAGACACGGUCCAGACUCCUACGGGAGGCAGCAGUAGGGAAUCUUCCGCAAUGGGCGAAAGCCUGACGGAGCAACGCCGCGUGAGUGAUGAAGGUCUUCGGAUCGUAAAACUCUGUUAUUAGGGAAGAACAAAUGUGUAAGUAACUAUGCACGUCUUGACGGUACCUAAUCAGAAAGCCACGGCUAACUACGUG